GUCUACAAAAUAUAUACAAUUGAGUUAUUUAUACUAGUAAACUACGUAUUUUCGCUUUUCUACGGUAAACUUCCUUAGUGAUCCUAAGUUAAAUAGGAAAAGACAUUUGCUUGAUAGUAAAACUAAUUUCGACACCUGAAGAUUCGAUUUGUAAAGCAUUUGACUGUCCAGUCGUAGUUUAGAUCAGUGUAAGAAUUAAACCUGAUUUCCACACUCUGACUCUGUUAUUUCUUUAUCAAUUUUUGGUAAUCAGCGCUAUCACCCUGUACUCGUUUCGUGUUGUCCAGCUCUGUGUAGCCAGGGGGUGAUUUUCUCUUUCCAACCUCUUCGUACGAUGAUUCUGCUUCAGUAUGAGCGGGUAUUACAUAAUCUGAGUCGCGUUUUAACAAUUUCUGGUAGGUGCCAUCAUUUGUUGUUUCGUCUUGUCGGUUACUGUCAAGCUCGGCGUAAACAGAAGGUGGUGAUAUUUGGACUUCUUCGUACGGUUCUGUUCCAUCAUCUGAUUCCUG